AUUGAACGCUGGCGGCGUGCUUAACACAUGCAAGUCGAGCGGUAACAGGCGUAGCAAUACGUGCUGACGAGCGGCGAACGGGUGAGUAAUGCUUCGGAAUCUUCCUCGUAGUGGGGAAUAACCUGGGGAAACUCAGGCUAAUACCGCAUACGAACUACGGUUGAAAGCAGGGGAUCGCAAGACCUUGCGCUGUGAGAUGAGCGGAAGUCGGAUUAGCUAGUUGGUGAGGUAAAGGCUCACCAAGGCGACGAUCCGUAGCUGGUCUGAGAGGACGACCUGCCACACUGGGACUGAGACACGGCCCAGACUCCUACGGGAGGCAGCAGUGGGGAAUAUUGGACAAUGGGGGCAACCCUGAUCCAGCGACGCCGCGUGUGUGAAGAAGGCCUGCGGGUUGUAAAGCACUUUUAGUGGGAAUGAAAAGCCGAAGGCUAAUACCUUUCGGUCUUGACCUAACCCAAAGAAAAAGCACCGGCUAACUCUGUGCCAGCAGCCGCAGUAAUAC
rnacentral:rRNA from 1 species